rnacentral:tRNA from 1 species
GAUUUUUUAACUAUACAAGUAUAUAUUUUGAAAAUAUAAAAAAGAGUAAAUCUCUAAAAAUCU